rnacentral:ncRNA from 1 species
UAAAAGUUUUUUAGCUUAUAGUUUUUAUAUUUAAUUUAAUUAUAUACAAAAUUUAUUUGAAAUAUAAAAAUUUUUAAAUAGAAUUUUAAAAUUUUUGUUAGUAGUAAUUAAUUUUAUUAUUUUUAGAGAUUAAGAUAUAGAAAUUUAAAAUAGUAUAAACAAAAUUUGUGCCAGCAGUUGCGGUUAUACAAAUUAUGCAAUAAAUAGUUUUUGGUUUUUAGUAAAUAUAAUAAUUAGAUAAAUAAUUAAUUUUAUUAGGUGAAAUUUUAAAUUUAUAAAUUUAUUUAUUUUAUUUUAUUAACUAAUAAAAUUAAUUUUAAGACUAGGAUUAGAUACCCUAUUAUGAGUAAAGUAAUUUUAAGACCAGAUUAGUAUUUGUUAAAAUCAUGAAAAUUAAAAAAAAUGGCGGUAUUUUAGUCUAUUCAGAGGAACCUGUUUUUUAAUUGAUAAUCCACGAUUUAAAUUACUUAUUUUUUUAAUUUGUAUAUCGUUGUAGAUAGAAUAUCUUUAUUAAGGUAUAAUAUUCAAGAUUUUUUUUAAAAAAUAAGACAGAUCAAGAUGUAGUUUAUAAAUAAGUUAAAAUGGGUUACAAUAAAUUUAUUUAUGAAUAAAAUUUUUAAAUUUUUUUUGAAAUUGGAUUUGAAAGUAAUUUUGUUUAAAAUAUUCAAGAUGAUUUAAGCUCUAAGAUAUGUACAUAUUGCCCGUCGCUUUCAUUUAAUAUGAAAUAAGUCGUAACAUAGUAGAUGUACUGGAAAGUGUAUCUAGAAUGCA